GUCUAGGUCAUAGGAGUGUUUUAUUCUUGCAAAUUUUAACAAAGUCUUAGUCAUUUUUAAAUCGUGGGUGAAAGCAUUCAUGUGACAAUGUUAGAUUUCACUGUUUUGACACAUUUAUGGAGAUAAAAUUUAAUGUGUGUUUAUUUUGUGUUGGAUUAAUGUGAAAAUUAAUUUGAUACAGCAACUGGUGAAAAAGAGGGGAAUAUUUUACCCAGUUCAUUCUGGGUUUUAAGUGAAAAUUUCAGCAGUUUUACUUGUUUUAUCAAAUUCGAAUUUUAUAUUGGACUUAUUACUCUAUGGCAAUUACAACAACGAGUCACCAUGUAGUGGGAUUUUAGUAUUCUAGAUUCAUAAACAUUGCAAAGG
rnacentral:lncRNA from 1 species